AUUGAACGCUGGCGGCAGGCCUAACACAUGCAAGUCGAACGAGUGGCGGACGGGUGAGUAAUGUCUGGGAAACUGCCUGAUGGAGGGGGAUAACUACUGGAAACGGUCGCUAAUACCGCAUACCAUCGGAUGUGCCCAGAUGGGAUUAGCUAGUUGGUGGGGUAACGGCUCACCUAGGCGACGAUCCCUAGCUGGUCUGAGAGGAUGACCAGCCACACUGGAACGGAGAAACGGUCCAGACUCCUACGGGAGGGAGCAGUGGGGAAUAUUGGACAAUGGGCGCAAGCCUGAUGCAGCCAGGCCGCGGGUAGGAAGAAGGCCUUCGGGUUGUAAAGUACUUUCAGCGGGGAGGCGUUACCCGCAGAAGAAGCACCGGCUAACUCCGUGCCAGCAGCCGCGGUAAUAC
rnacentral:rRNA from 1 species